CGCGGAGAUACGGAUGAUGUUCCCGUAAAGCAUCGCGGUUUUGCGGUGUCCGGUGCGCUUCUUCUGGCCCUUGAAAAUCCGGGUAAGAGAUUGAUUUUCACGCCGAAUCGUACCCAUAUCCGCAGCAGGUCUCCAAGGUGAACAGCCUCUAGUCUUUGAACAAUGUAGGCAAGGGAAGUCGGCAAAUUAGAUCCGUAACUUCGGGAAAAGGAUUGGCUCUAAGGGCUGGGGCCGUUCGAGCUCCGGUUAGAAGCGAUGGUCGAUGCGUAGGAACUGGGUAAACUGAUCGCAAGGUUGGUGAACUCGGACCUUAGUCAUUGUGCUGCCGUGGAAGGCCGAAGCUACGUCGUGUGAUUCUUCGCGGGAUUGCCGAUUUCGGGCGGCGCUAAGCAGCCAAACUUAGAACUGGUACGGACACGGGGAAUCCGACUGUCUAAAUAAAACAAAGCAUUGCGAUGG
rnacentral:rRNA from 1 species